rnacentral:rRNA from 1 species
GAUGAACGCUGGCGGCGUGCCUAAUACAUGCAAGUCGAGCGAACAGACGAGGAGCUUGCUCCUCUGACGUUAGCGGCGGACGGGUGAGUAACACGUGGAUAACCUACCUAUAAGACUGGGAUAACUUCGGGAAACCGGAGCUAAUACCGGAUAAUAUAUUGAACCGCAUGGUUCAAUAGUGAAAGACGGUUUUGCUGUCACUUAUAGAUGGAUCCGCGCCGCAUUAGCUAGUUGGUAAGGUAACGGCUUACCAAGGCAACGAUGCGUAGCCGACCUGAGAGGGUGGUCGGCCACACUGGAACUUAGACACGGUCCCGACUCCUACGGGAGGCAGCAGUAGGGAAUCUUCCGCAAUGGGCGAAAGCCUGACGGAGCAACGCCGCGUGAGUGAUGAAGGUCUUCGGAUCGUAAAACUCUGUUAUUAGGGAAGAACAAAUGUGUAAGUAACUAUGCACGUCUUGACGGUACCUAAUCAGAAAGCCACGGCUAACUACGUG